ACUUUACAUCUAUGAAUUGUGAACUGCCUUAGUGUGUGUAUCGAUUUAUUCUUUAUGGUUUUCAAUUUCAUAAAUGAUUCGUAGGUGUGAUCAUGUUGAACAUAAGCAGCUUCCAGUUCAUAAGCUUGGAACUUUCCUUUUUAAUCAGCUUUAGGUUUAAAAUACGUAAUCAACUUGAUAGGAGUUAUUUUCUAGCUUUACUGAUUUUUGACCUUGCAUUGUGAAGAUUUCUGUGUAGAAACAAUACCUCAAUUGGGAAGAACGAAAGUUUAUAUUUGAUUUACGAACAUUGCCAUCACUUACGUAGGGGGUUCUUGGGAUCGGUAGAAAAAAUCAUUAUGGCUGAACAAGAUUAGGAUUAGUUUUCAUAAAAUGCAACAAAAUCCAUUAAAAGAGUAUUCAUUUGCUCCUUGGAGUCUUUCUGAUGCAAGAGAAAUGAGGGAGACAACUCUAUGGCCACAUCUGUAUGCUUUCUCAGUAAGAAGCAUGGCAGCUUUUCGUAUAAGCAAAUCAGAGAGGCUUAGGGCUCGUUUGGAUGUGCUUUUAAAAUGGCUGGAAGCAUCUUUAGAGAAAAUGUUUUUGGGUUCCCAAAGCACUUUAAGUGCUUUCUGCAAGAAGCACCAGUUAUGUGCUUCUUCUGUGAAACACUUUUAAGUGUUUUUCUAGGAUUUACUUGCAUUUUUACUAAGGAUUGGUUCCAAAAACAUUUUCACCAAAAGCGUUUUUAGUCAUUUUAAAAGCACAUCUAAACGAGCUCUUAAGUUGUCAUUAUAUUUAAAUGUCACAAUGCUUAACUGAAGUUUUCAAACGUCUUUUGGUAUUUUAGCAUCAUGAUAUUGUGGUUUGACCAUAAGAAGAAAGUUGGGACUGGGUUUUGAUAUGUGUAUGCUGCAGUUAGUAUGCGAGCAUACAACCUAGUUUGUUAGUUGUUUGGUUUGUGAACCGGAAAUUGUACGUAGCCAAUCAACUAACAUAUCGUUAAAUAACUGAA